rnacentral:misc_RNA from 1 species
AAGUCGUAACAAGGUUUCCGUAGGUGAACCUGCGGAAGGAUCAUUAACACUUUACAAAACUCAAAAUUUCCCUUUUGAAUCCCUCUCUUUUCUUUUCUCUUUCUCUUCUCUUCGGAGGGGAGACUGGGGAAGUCAAGAGAUUUUCAAAUUUAAUUUGAACAAAAAUGUGUAACCUUACUUUUUUACUUAUGGAUUUGAGGGCACAAGUGAGGGGGGGUUUUCUCUCUCUCUUUGUGGUUCUCAGAUUUUCUCAUAAACCAGUUAAACCCAAUAAAUCAAAAUAUGGCGUAUCUCAAAGGGACUUUUUGUCUCUCUGACGAUCCCCCAUAGUUAAACCAAAAACAAAAAACUAAAAAUAAAAACAAAAUAAAACACAACUCUUAACAAUGGAUAUCUUGGUUCUCGC